AUCUAUUAGGUUGGUGCAAAAGUAAUUGCGCUCUUUGCCAUUGCUUCUAAUAGUAAAAAUCGCAAUUACUUUUGCACCAAC
rnacentral:miRNA from 1 species